GACAGAGGCCUCGAGCGUUAGGCGGAAUCACUGGGCUUAAAGCGUGUGUAGGCGGAACGUUAAGUGCCUUGUGAAAUCCCACGGCUCAACCGUGGAACUGCUGGGCAUACUGGCGUUCUUGAGCCAGCCAGGGGUCGUCGGAACAAACGGUGGAGCGGUGAAAUGCGUAGAUAUCGUUUGGAACGCCAAAGGCGAAAGCAGACGACUGGGGCUGAGCUGACGCUGAGACACGAAAGCCAGGGGAGCAAACGGG
rnacentral:rRNA from 1 species